AGGUAGGCCUUGGAGCGCGCCAUCCGGUAAAGUGUGGCCGGGCGGAAGGUGAUCCCGUCGGCGAAGAUGGCGGCGUCGGGGCGGAAGGUAACGACCGUACCGCGGCGGUUGGCCACCGGUCCCAGAUUCGUGGGCGGUCCUUCCGGCGUGCCUUGCCGAUAGCUCUGGCGCCACAACGUCCGCUCGCGCGCGACCUCGACAAUGAGCUGCUCGGCGAGCGCAUUCACCACCGAGAGCCCCACGCCGUGCA
rnacentral:rRNA from 1 species